rnacentral:rRNA from 1 species
GACGAACGCUGGCGGCGUGCCUAAUACAUGCAAGUAGAACGCUGAAGGAGGAGCUUGCUCUUUCCAGAUGAGUUGCGAACGGGUGAGUAACGCGUAGGUAACCUGCCUGGUAGCGGGGGAUAACUAUUGGAAACGAUAGCUAAUACCGCAUAAGAGUAGAUAUCGCAUGAUAGCUGCUUGAAAGGUGCAAUUGCACCACUACCAGAUGGACCUGCGUUGUAUUAGCUAGUUGGUGAGGUAACGGCUCACCAAGGCAACGAUACAUAGCCGACCUGAGAGGGUGAUCGGCCACACUGGGACUGAGACACGGCCCAGACUCCUACGGGAGGCAGCAGUAGGGAAUCUUCGGCAAUGGACGGAAGUCUGACCGAGCAACGCCGCGUGAGUGAAGAAGGUUUUCGGAUCGUAAAGCUCUGUUGUAAGAGAAGAACGAGUGUGAGAGUGGAAAGUUCACACUGUGACGGUAUCUUACCAGAAAGGGACGGCUAACUACGUGCCAGCAGCCGCGGUAAUACGUAGGUCCCGAGCGUUGUCCGGAUUUAUUGGGCGUAAAGCGAGCGCAGGCGGUUAGAUAAGUCUGAAGUUAAAGGCUGUGGCUUAACCAUAGUACGCUUUGGAAACUGUUUAACUUGAGUGCAAGAGGGGAGAGUGGAAUUCCAUGUGUAGCGGUGAAAUGCGUAGAUAUAUGGAGGAACACCGGUGGCGAAAGCGGCUCUCUGGCUUGUAACUGACGCUGAGGCUCGAAAGCGUGGGGAGCAAACAGG